UCUCUUGGCGUACUGUUCGUGCCUACCGUACAGCUGCUAGCUCACGCGUCUAUCCGCUCCACCUUUUGGCAGUUGAAACUGCAAAACUGGAGAUGGCGCUGCGGCGCGCAGUGUGCACGGAGACCCGGAGGGCAUGCGCAUGCAUUCGCUAUCACCAGAUCUCAACCCAUUUGAGCUGGUUUGGUACACACUGAAGGAGUUUGUCAGAUGCGAAGUCAAGCCAAGGAGUAAAGCUUCUACAGACUUUCUAGACAGAUCACCUGACUAAAGCAGCCAGCAACAGAUACAGAUGGUACUCACCCAGAAUAGUUUUGUGGCACCGCAGGUACCACUGCAGUUGCGGCAGUAACAUGCAUUUGCUGCACUUGACAGCUAAGUGGCACUAUAAGCACAGAUUUUAAUUUUCACAGUUCAUUCUCACAAGUAACUGUCAACCACACUUUGCCAAUGGGCGAGAUUUGACUGUUGCAGUCAGUAGAGAAUACAAGAAAAAGACAUGAUGCCAGCAUGAUUUAGCAUAUUGCUAGCAUGAUUUAGCAUGUUGCUAGCAUUAUUUGCUAGCAUGAAUUAGCAUUUUAAUGGCAUGAUUUAGCACAUUGCUAACAUGAUUUAGAAUGUUGCUAGCAUGAUUUAGCAUAAUGCUAGAAUAAUUUAGAACGUUGCUAGCAUGUUGCUAGCAUGAUUUAUCAUGUUGGUAGCAUGAUGUAGCAUUUUGCUAGCAUGUUUUAGCCUGUUGCUAGCAUGAAUUAGCAUGUUGCUACAGUGAUAUAGCACAUUGCUAACAUGUUUUAACAUGAUGCUAGUAUGAUUCAACAAGUUUUAGCAUGUUGCUAUCAUGUUUUAGCACAUUGCUAGCAUGAGUUAGCAUGUUGCUAGCUUGAUGCUAGCAUGAUUUAGUAUGUUGCUAGCAUGUUUUAGCACAUUGCUGUCAUGAAUUAGCAUGUUGUUAGCAUGAUGUUAGCAUGAGCUAGCAUGUUUUACCAUGUUGCUAGCAUGAUUUAGCACAUUGCCAUCAUGUUUUAGCACAUUGCUAGCAUUAUUUAGCACAUUGCUACCAUGAUUUAGCAAAUUGCUAGCAUGAAUUAGCAUGUUGCUAGCAUGAUUUAGCACAUUGCUAACAUGAAUUAGCAUGUUUUAGCCUGUUGCUAGCAUCAUUUAUCAUGUGCUAGCAUGUUUUAGGAUGUAGCUACCAUGAUUUAGGAUGUUGCUAGCAUGUUUUAGCACGUUGCUAGCAUUAUUUACCACAUUACUAGCAUGAAUUAGCAUGUUGCUUUAAUGAUUUAGCAUGAUGCUAGCAUGAAUUACCAUGUUGCUCGCAUGUUUAGAAUUUGCUGGUAUAUUUUUAUGUUGUUCGGAAUAGAUCAGUGUAAAACAUGUCACUUCCUGUUGCCAGUAGGUGGCGAUAUGACUAUAACUGAAUAUAAGCCCUUUUCACGCAAAUUGGAAACUACGUCACCAUGAAGUAACAUUAUUUCCGCCUUGGCAUGAACUACGUUGUUCCAUGCAGAGUAAACAUGGAGAGAUUCUUCACUACUUCUCUCUCGACCCGGCCACGACUCAGGUUCGAGGAUGUUAACCGAAUUGUUGGAUAGCACUCUACAACUAAUGAAUCAAGGCUGAGCUAUAAAUUCUUCGUUGAGGAAUUUGUACACAAUUAUCAAGGUAAGUUGACAACUAGCUGGCGCUAGCAUUUGCAGCAGUAUGGAUGCUAACAAUUUUGUAUGUGUUCAGUCUCAAAUGUUGUUGAUUGCAAGGUGAUAGUGAGAGCUAGGUGUUAUUGAUCGAUGAGGAAAAAUGAGGAGCCCCACAGACUUGAGGUUAUAUGUAAUAUAUGGCUUAUGAGUUCAUUAGAUUAGCUAUCAUUGUUCUGAUAGCAAGUCAUUCCGUUUUAGUUAAAAUAACUGCGGUUGCAGUUUUUUCCUUUUGGAUUUCCCUUUUCCUUUAGUUUCACAAGUUUUCUUUUUUCUGUCUUGAAGUUAUGACCUUUUUCUUUCUUUCUGCGGUUGCAGACUAUCACUAUGUAUUGCUUUUACUGCAGUUUACAGUUUUCAUUUAACAACAUUUAGCUGACAGCACAGAAUUACAAUUCCCUAGCUAAACUGUUGUCUUUUCAAACAGAUGACAUAUGAGUCAGAAGAUGAUGUUUGUGUUUCUGCCUAUAUGUGUAGCUGUGCAGCUGGUAAAGGGUUGUGUAACCAUGACAGCUUUUAUGUAUCAGACGGCCCACUAUGUGCAGUUUAACUUACAGUCUUAAUCUACAGUCAAUUUACUCUGGCCUGCACGAGUGAGCCACAGAGAUGGCAUCGUCCAAGGACACAGGCAAGUAUAUUGUCUUUUUAACUGUCUGCAUUUGGUAAGAUCACCAAUAACACUUACAAAUAAGUAAACAAACACUGUAUAUGCUAAUAUGAAAGCUUUAUGGACUAAUAAUAAACAAGAGGGUAAAUUAUUAAGUAGAAAGUUAUAAAUGAACAUCAACCAAGAUUUAUAAAAACUGUUAACAAUUAUUGUUCAUUGUUAUUUCAUGAUGCUUAAAUGCAUUUUCUAAUGUUAAUGUAUAGAACCUUUUUGCAAAGUGUUCCCAGAAUACUUUUAACACCUCAUUUGUUUGUGUUAUAGUAAGGGAGUCUGUCCAGAGACAGUGAGUGCACUUGUUGUCCUGAAACCAAAAUCACUUGAGAAGACUGGUGUAAAGUCACAACUCUCUCUGUGUGUUAUGUAUGUGUACACAGCUACAUCUUCAUGUGUUCAACACUAAUAGUUUGUGUAAAUUUCUUUAGGUCCCCUUCCAGAUCCUCAUGUUUUCGCUUCUGAAGCAAAAUUCCGUCAGAUCAAUCCCCAGUCUUUACUGGCACACAUAAUAGAGGGCAUGUCAAAAAUAGACGUGGUUAACUCGCAGUUUGUUCCCGUACCUCGUGGCAGUCCACUGUCACUACCAGUGUCCCCCCAUGGCUGCAGAUAUUCCUGUUGUAAAUUUCCUCCCACUGCCUGUGCAUGAUUAACAGUUCAGCUAUAACUUUAAAUUUGUGCCUACACACCAUCAAGCACUUCAUCUGGAGUCUAUAAAGGUUACCCAUAGCUUAGCUUGUCAGAUUGAAGGAGGCACAAGACUACAGUCAAAAUGUACUGCUUGGGGACAAAUUUGUCAAGCAAGGGUUACUGCAAGCAGGUUCAGGGAGAUUUGUCAUGUGGUUGGGGAUUCAGCUAGUCAGUCAUUAGCAGCAAGAAUCAUCAAGGGCACAAGGCAGACAAAUUCCAUGAAAUGUGGCCUUGAACUUGAGCCUGAUAUUUUAAGGAGAUAUUCUGAGACAGCUAGAGUUAGUGUCCUACCUUGUGGUUUUAUUGUUAACCCAGAAGCAUCACAUCUCCAGAUGAACGAGUGCACGAUCCUUCUGAAACUAUUCCCAUUCGGACUAGUAGAAGUAAAAAGCACCUCUGCUGACAGCAUUGCUCUGGUUCCAUUCAUGAAAAUCCAAAGAGGCCAAGUCAAACUCAAAGAGACCCAUAAGUACUAUUGGCAGGUUCAAGGCCAGCUUGCAGUGACUGGUCUACAGUGCUGUGACUUUGUAACUGACACAAAAUCAGAUCUCACAAUACUGAGGAUUUGGCGAGAUGAUGCCUUUGUAGCGUUCAUGAAAGACAAGCUAGACAUGCAUUACUGUAAUGUUUACAUGGAUGUGUAUCUGUCAAUGGUAUGAAUUAAGUUUCUGUUCAUACUGCAGUACAUGAACAUUUGAUGUAUUAUUUUUAUUAUUGUAUUAAAUGUAUUGUAUUAAUUUCUAUUAAACAUAUAAAUAUGUAAAUAUAGAAAAAAAACAAGGUGAAUGUAUAAUUAGAUUUUGUAAUAUAGAUGUUAGAUAUAUUGUAUUAGCUAGAUUAUUUAUAUGUACAAAUGUUUACAAAAUCUAUAUAUUUACAUUAAAUACAUUGUAGUAUAUUUUACAAAUGUACUCCCAGUGGAUGCUUGUAGUGCAGAUGUACAAUUUGAAGUUUCAGUUUUGUGAAAUAACAACUGGACACCAGAAGUGAGGUCUGUCACAUUUAUUUUUUUCAUGAAUUAUUAAUAAAAUGACAUUUCAUUGCCAACUAUUUCAUUGUGCCUGUCAAAUGAUUUUCAGGAAACUUAAUGUACUACUAAAAGAACAAGUAACAAUAAAGAAAACAAAUUUAUUUAAAGAAACUAUCAAGUUAAAUACUACUAAAACACUACUAUUGUAAAAAUCAAUCACAAUGUCACUCUAAUAAUCUAAACUACUGAAAAACAUUCACUGCUUAAACAUUGGUCCCUGGUAAUUAACCAUAAAACAGCAAUUAUGCCAGAUCUGAUUAAUGCUUCCUGACAAGGUAAGUCGCAUUACAGAA